UAGGCAAUCGGGUAACCAAUUGCCGAUUAAAGAUUAGAAGUCUGCAGAGGUCGUAGUAUUCCGAUUUAUCGGAAGAAGGAC
rfam:Candidatus Collierbacteria bacterium CG1_02_44_10 cg1_0.2_scaffold_9917_c, whole genome shotgun sequence.